rnacentral:rRNA from 1 species
AUUGAACGCUGGCGGCAGGCCUAACACAUGCAAGUCGAGCGGCAGCGAGACCUUCGGGUUGCCGGCGAGCGGCGGACGGGUGAGUAAUGCCUAGGAAUCUGCCUGUUAGUGGGGGAUAACGCGGGCAAACUCGCGCUAAUACCGCAUACGUCCUACGGGAGAAAGCGGGGGCUCUUCGGACCUCGCGCUAACAGAUGAGCCUAGGUCGGAUUAGCUAGUUGGUGGGGUAAUGGCUCACCAAGGCGACGAUCCGUAACUGGUCUGAGAGGAUGAUCAGUCACACUGGAACUGAGACACGGUCCAGACUCCUACGGGAGGCAGCAGUGGGGAAUAUUGGACAAUGGGCGAAAGCCUGAUCCAGCCAUGCCGCGUGUGUGAAGAAGGUCUUCGGAUUGUAAAGCACUUUAAGUCGGGAGGAAGGGCUGUAGGUUAAUACCCUGCAGUUUUGACGUUACCGACAGAAUAAGCACCGGCUAACUUCGUGCCAGCCGCCGCGGUAA